UACGAAGGGGGCUAGCGUUGCUCGGAAUUACUGGGCGUAAAGGGCGCGUAGGCGGCCUGUUAAGUCAGACGUGAAAUCCCUCGGCUCAACCGGGGAACUGCGUCUGAUACUGGCGGGCUUGAAUUCGGGAGAGGGAUGUGGAAUUCCAGGUGUAGCGGUGAAAUGCGUAGAUAUCUGGAGGAACACCGGUGGCGAAGGCGGCAUCCUGGACCGACAUUGACGCUGAGGCGCGAAAGCCAGGGGAGCAAACAGG
rnacentral:rRNA from 1 species